rnacentral:rRNA from 1 species
GGGGAACCAGGACUUUUACUUUGAAAAAAUUAGAGUGCUCCAGGCAGGCCUAUGCUCGAAUACAUUAGCAUGGAAUAAUAGAAUAGGACGUGUGGUUCUAUUUUGUUGGUUUCUAGGACCGCCGUAAUGAUUAAUAGGGACAGUCGGGGGCAUCAGUAUUCAAUUGUCAGAGGUGAAAUUCUUGGAUCUAUUGAAGACUAACUACUUCGAAAGCAUUUGCCAAGGAUGUUUUCAUUGAUAAGGAACGAAAGUUAGGGGAUCGAAGACGAUCAGAUACCGUCGUAGUCUUAACUAUAAACUAUGCCGACUAGGGAUCGGACGAUGUUAUCUUUUGACGCGUUCGGCACCUUUCGAGAAAUCAAAGUGCUUGGGCUCCAGGGGGAGUAUGGUCGCAAGGCUGAAACUUAAAGAAAUUGACGGAAGGGCACCACCAGGGGUGGAACCUGCGGCUUAAUUUGACUCAACACGGGGAAACUCACCAGGUCCAGACACAGUGAGGAUUGACAGAUUGAGAGCUCUUUCUUGAUUCUGUGGGUGGUGGUGCAUGGCCGUUCUUAGUUGGUGGAGUGAUUUGUCUGCUUAAUUGCGAUAACGAACGAGACCU